CCCCGCGAGCCCAGGCCCCCGCCCCGGGCCAGCCGCCCCGCGUCGCCCCGCAGGAAGUUCAUGAGCACGGUCUCCGCCAUGUCGUCGGCGUUGUGGCCUGGGGGAGAGAGACGGGGAGCCGGCCCUGUGCCAGUUGCUUUUUCAGGAGGGUCAGUCUCAGUUGAAGGUGUGCGUCACACGGCACCGGCACCGGCACCGGAGAAGUCAAAGCGGCCUCUAACGGUCAGUGGAGGUGUUGCUGUCCCAGUGCGGGGAAUGCGGGUCACCGCGUGCAGGAAGGCCAGCGAGAGCUUCGGUAUUUCCUCAACAGUCACCAUAGACGUCACCUAAACGUCUACCUAUUCUGCAUCUUGUCGUCUUAUACUUGAGUCUGUCUGGUCCGACAGACACCGGUCCUCUUGGGGCUUCUCCAGUUGGCCACACUUCCCCUCCUCAGGGCCUUUGCACCAGCCUCCUCCUCUGCUCGGACCCCAACAACUGGGUCUGCCCUUCACUGGUUACUCAGGCGGCCUUCAGGUCAGGCUCACUCAGGAACCACUUCCUAACUCCAGGCUUCCCCCUUCACUGGGUCCUCCUGUUAUAAACUGGCAAAGUCUGUGUGAUUUUUCCUUA